CUGUGAACUCGAAGAGUAGGGCGGGACACGUGGUAUCCUGUCUGAAUAUGGGGGGACCAUCCUCCAAGGCUAAAUACUCCUGACUGACCGAUAGUGAACCAGUACCGUGAGGGAAAGGCGAAAAGAACCCCGGCGAGGGGAGUGAAAAAGAACCUGAAACCGUGUACGUACAAGCAGUGGGAGCACCUUCGGGUGUGACUGCGUACCUUUUGUAUAAUGGGUCAGCGACUUAUAUUCUGUAGCAAGGUUAACCGUAUAGGGGAGCCGCAGGGAAACCGAGUCUUAACUGGGCGUUAAGUUGCAGGGUAUAGACCCGAAACCCGGUGAUCUAGCCAUGGGCAGGUUGAAGGUUGGGUAACACUAACUGGAGGACCGAACCGACUAAUGUUGAAAAAUUAGCGGAUGACUUGUGGCUGGGGGUGAAAGGCCAAUCAAACCGGGAGAUAGCUGGUUCUCCCCGAAAGCU
rnacentral:rRNA from 1 species